CUCCUUGCAGUGGGGACUGGAGGUUUGAAUCCAGGUCUUUAUUCAUUAUAACAUGUGCACUCAGCCACGUGCUUCACCACCUGGACUGAAUGAAGCCAGGUUUUAAUUUGUGAUUAAUAGUGUUUUACCAGAUUGUAAGAUUACUGGGUAUAGUUUCACACCACACCCGCCACCAAAGUUCUGUGCCCUCCAUCUCCCAAUGGUAACUACUAUAGCUCAUGCAAAAUCUUAGAGACUGUUUACUUCUGUUUUGUUUUGUUUCAUUUUUAAGUUCAUGUGUUUCAGUUCUCUAGGUAACACAUAUGAGUGAAACCAUCUGGUAGUUGUCUCUAAGCACAGUCACCUCCAGUUCCAUCUAUUUUGUCCCAAAGGACACAAUAUCAUCAUUUUAGAUUGCAUAGUAUUAUUCCAUGGAGUUUAUAUCCCAUAAUUUAUCUAGUCAUCUGUUGGUGGGCAUUUUAGUUGCUUUCAUUCUUUGGCUAUUGUGAAAAAUGCAGCUAUGAACAUAGGAAUGUAUGUCCCUUCUAGUUAAUGUUUGCAUGUCCUUUGGAUAAAUGCCCAAGAGUGGUUUUGCUGAAUCAUAAAGUAAUUUCAUUUUUAUUUGUUUAAGGACUCUCCAUACAUUCUCUUGCAAAGGGGCUUCACCAGUUUGCAUUCCCAACAGCAGUGUAGCAGUGUCCCUUUUUCUCCACAACCUUGCCAACACCUGUCAUUUCUUACUUGGCUGAUUAGGGCCAGUCUCGAAGGUGUGUUGGUACAGUUUCUUAUCUCCUCAUAAUAGGUGUCUGUCUACCAUUCUUACCACCAACUGAAGACUCUUCACCAUCACACUCUGGACACAAGACACCCUCCCACCCCUCUCCCUUGCUAGAGCCCUUUGCUUUGCUGCAAUACACCCUAUCCAGUCCAAGUUUCAGCCUGUGUUUUCCUUUUCUUUCCUUAAAACAGGGUGAAGGUCAUGGUGCUACCACCCCUUGUUGAUGCUACUUUGUUCUGUGAAAAAGGUCAGUCACAAGCAGGGCCUGUGUUCCCAUGAACCCUCAGAUCAAGAGUCACUUAUGUUCCCUCUUGCUCUGAAAACCUCCAGGUUCCAGAUGCUAGCAUGAUGCCAGCCAGACUUCACUGGACAGACAACUCUAC